UGCUCCUCAGGUUGCUGUUGUCCCUGUGGUGGCGUACUUGUCACAUGUCGACAAAUUAUACACUACAUACCAGUUGACAGCGUGCAAUAACCCGGCCGAUUUAUUCAUCUUUACACCACCUCGCAAUCGAAUCAACGGUUAGUUUUUUUUUUUUUUUUUUUCUUUUUUUCUUCCCCGCGAUCAGCCCUGAUCAGCGCGGGAUGGCGAGCCACCCGACCACCGCUGCAUUGCGGUAGGACUUGCGAACCUUUGGAUUCAACUGAACUGUUGACACAUGACCUCUCACAGGUCAAUGAAACUAAAGUGAUCUCAUACUGGACUAAACCUCAUCCCACCUCCUUUUGGAACCUAAUAAGCUGUUUUAUAUUGUCAACAUUGUUUUUGUUUGUGAUAUAUGCAUAUAUAUAUUUUUUUGUACAUCUGUCUAUAUAUUUCUCAUAACAAACAUAAUAUAUAUAUAUUUUUUAGCUCUA